rnacentral:tmRNA from 1 species
GGGGAUGAUCGGUUUCGACAGCGGAUGUCGAAGCAGGAGAAGCGAGCCGAGGAACGCGGCAAUGAUCUCGUUAACCACCUGCCGCAAAAAAAUAAUCGCCGAUUCCAAGCGCGAUUCCUUCGCCCUCGCUGCCUAAGUAGCGACCUGCGAAGUGCUGGCCCGGGAGUGUUUCCGGCCCGGAUCCCAGUAUCAGUGAGGGAACUCACCGCGUAGGCCCGGUCACGGGGUCUACCGGGACAACUAACAGUGACUGAGCCCGUCGGAGACUUGUCCGCGUGAUCUCCGGGGCUGAGAAAAUCGCAGCGGACUGCGCUCGGAGAAGCCCUUCUUCCGCACCGUUGGACGCGGGUUCGAUUCCCGCCAUCUCCACCA